rnacentral:rRNA from 1 species
ACUCAAAUGAAUUGACGGGUCCCCGCACAAGCAGCGGAGCGUGUGGUUUAAUUCGAUGCAACGCGAAGAACCUUACCUGGGUUUGACAUGCACUCGCAACGCUUUGAAAGAAGCGCCUCCGCAAGGACGGGUGCACAGAUGUUGCAUGGCUGUCGUCAGCUCGUGUCGUGAGAUGUUGGGUUAAGUCCCUCAACGAGCGCAACCCCUAUUUCUAGUUGAAUAUCUAGAGAGACUGCCGGAAACAAACCGGAGGAAGGCGGGGAUGAUGUCAAGUCAGCAUGACUCUUACAUCCAGGGCUACACACACGCUACAAUGGGGGGUACAAUGAGAAGCCACCACGCGAGUGGGAGCAGACCUCACAAAGCCCUCCUCAGUUCAGAUUGCACUCUGCAACCCGAGUGCAUGAAGUCGGAGUUGCUAGUAACCGCGUGACAGCAUAGCGCGGUGAAUAUGUUCCCGGGGAUUGUACACACCGCCCGU